rnacentral:rRNA from 1 species
CGCAGGCGUAGGAAAUUUGAGAAGACCUGUCCUUAGUACGAGAGGACCGGGAUGGACGUACCUCUGGGGUACCAGUUGUUCUGCCAAGGGCAUGGCUGGGUAGCUAUGUACGGAAUGGAUAAGCGCUGAAAGCAUCUAAGCGCGAAGCCAACUUCAAGAUAAGAUUUCCCACCGCAAGGGUAAGACCCCAGAAAGACUAUCUGGUUGAUAGGUCGAAGGUGUAAGUGCAGCAAUGUAUUUAGCUUAUCGAUACUAAUAGGUCGAGGACUUGACCAAU